rnacentral:rRNA from 1 species
AGGUAAGCUACUAAGAGCGAAUGGUGGAUGCCUUGACUGGUAAAGGCGAUGAAGGACGUACUAGACUGCGAUAAGCUACGGGGAGCUGUCAAGAAGCUUUGAUCCGUAGAUUUCCGAAUGGGGCAACCCAAUGUAUAGAGAUAUACAUUACCUAUAUAGGAGCGAACGAGGGGAAUUGAAACAUCUUAGUACCCUCAGGAAAAGAAAUCAAUAGAGAUUGCGUCAGUAGCGGCGAGCGAAAGCGCAAGAGGGCAAACCCAGUGCUUGCACUGGGGGUUGUAGGACUGCAAUGUGCAAGAGGUAAGUUUAGCAGAACAUUCUGGAAAGUAUAACCAUAGAGGGUGAUAGUCCCGUAUGCGAAAAACAAACCUUAGCUAGCAGUAUCCUGAGUAGGGCGGGACACGAGGAAUCCUGUCUGAAUCUGGGUCGACCACGAUCCAACCCUAAAUACUAAUACCAGAUCGAUAGUGCACAAGUACCGUGAGGGAAAGGUGAAAAGAACUGAGGUGAUCAGAGUGAAAUAGAACCUGAAACCAUUUGCUUACAAUCAUUCAGAGCCCUAUGUAGCAAUACAGGGUGAUGGACUGCCUUUUGCAUAAUGAGCCUGCGAGUUGUGGUGUCUGGCAAGGUUAAGCAAACGCGAAGCCGUAGCGAAAGCGAGUCUGAAUAGGGCGCUUAGUCAGAUGCUGCAGACCCGAAACGAAGUGAUCUAUCCAUGAGCAAGUUGAAGCUAGUGUAAGAACUAGUGGAGGACUGAACCCAUAGGCGUUGAAAAGCCCCGGGAUGACUUGUGGAUAGGGGUGAAAGGCCAAUCAAACUUCGUGAUAGCUGGUUCUCUCCGAAAUAUAUUUAGGUAUAGCGUUGUGUCGUAAUAUAAGGGGGUAGAGCACUGAAUGGGCUAGGGCAUACACCAAUGUACCAAACCCUAUCAAACUCCGAAUACCUUAUAUGUAAUCACAGCAGUCAGGCGGCGAGUGAUAAAAUCCGUCGUCAAGAGGGAAACAACCCAGACUACCAGCUAAGGUCCCUAAAUCUUACUUAAGUGGAAAACGAUGUGAAGUUACUUAAACAACCAGGAGGUUGGCUUAGAAGCAGCCAUCCUUUAAAGAAAGCGUAAUAGCUCACUGGUCUAGUGAUUUUGCGCGGAAAAUAUAACGGGGCUAAAGUAAGUACCGAAGCUGUAGACUUGCACACAACUUAGAUUAUUUAAGUUUAGAAUAUGAGAAACUAAGUUAUAUGUUUAGUUAUAUUUUUACUGAUUUUUAUAGAGUAAAGAUAGAAAUAAAACUUAGUAAAAUCAGUAAAAAUAUUCUUAGACUAAAGUUAAGUAGUUUAAGUUGUGUGCAAGUGGUAGGAGAGCGUUCUAUUUGCGUCGAAGGUAUACCGGUAAGGAGUGCUGGAGCGAAUAGAAGUGAGCAUGCAGGCAUGAGUAGCGAUAAUUAAUGUGAGAAUCAUUAACGCCGUAAACCCAAGGUUUCCUACGCGAUGCUCGUCAUCGUAGGGUUAGUCGGGUCCUAAGUCGAGUCCGAAAGGGGUAGACGAUGGCAAAUUGGUUAAUAUUCCAAUACCAACAUUAGUGUGCGAUGGAAGGACGCUUAGGGCUAAGGGGGCUAGCGGAUGGAAGUGCUAGUCUAAGGUCGUAGGAGGUUAUACAGGCAAAUCCGUAUAACAAUACUCCGAGAACUGAAAGGCUUUUUGAAGUCUUCGGAUGGAUAGAAGAACCCCUGAUGCCGUCGAGCCAAGAAAAGUUUCUAAGUUUAGCUAAUGUUGCCCGUACCGUAAACCGACACAGGUGGGUGGGAUGAGUAUUCUAAGGCGCGUGGAAGAACUCUCUUUAAGGAACUCUGCAAAAUAGCACCGUAUCUUCGGUAUAAGGUGUGGUUCGCUUCGUAUUAGGAUUUACUCCGAAAGCGAAGAAACUUACAACAAAGAGUCCCUCCCGACUGUUUACCAAAAACACAGCACUCUGCUAACUCGUAAGAGGAUGUAUAGGGUGUGACGCCUGCCCGGUGCUCGAAGGUUAAUUGAUGGGGUUAGCAUUAGCGAAGCUCUUGAUCGAAGCCCGAGUAAACGGCGGCCGUAACUAUAACGGUCCUAAGGUAGCGAAAUUCCUUGUCGGUUAAAUACCGACCUGCAUGAAUGGCGUAACGAGAUGGGAGCUGUCUCAAAGAGGGAUCCAGUGAAAUUGUAGUGGAGGUGAAAAUUCCUCCUACCCGCGGCAAGACGGAAAGACCCCGUGGACCUUUACUACAGCUUGACACUGCUACUUGGAUAAGAAUGUGCAGGAUAGGUGGGAGGCUUUGAGUAUAUGACGCCAGUUGUAUAUGAGCCAUUGUUGAGAUACCACUCUUUCUUAUUUGGGUAGCUAACCAGCUUGAGUUAUCCUCAAGUGGGACAAUGUCUGGUGGGUAGUUUGACUGGGGCGGUCGCCUCCCAAAUAAUAACGGAGGCUUACAAAGGUUGGCUCAGAACGGUUGGAAAUCGUUCGUAGAGUAUAAAGGUAUAAGCCAGCUUAACUGCAAGACAUACAAGUCAAGCAGAGACGAAAGUCGGUCUUAGUGAUCCGGUGGUUCUGUGUGGAAGGGCCAUCGCUCAAAGGAUAAAAGGUACCCCGGGGAUAACAGGCUGAUCUCCCCCAAGAGCUCACAUCGACGGGGAGGUUUGGCACCUCGAUGUCGGCUCAUCGCAUCCUGGGGCUGGAGCAGGUCCCAAGGGUAUGGCUGUUCGCCAUUUAAAGCGGUACGCGAGCUGGGUUCAGAACGUCGUGAGACAGUUCGGUCCCUAUCUGCCGUGGGCGUAAGAAGAUUGAAGAGAUUUGACCCUAGUACGAGAGGACCGGGUUGAACAAACCACUGGUGUAGCUGUUGUUCUGCCAAGAGCAUCGCAGCGUAGCUAAGUUUGGAAAGGAUAAACGCUGAAAGCAUCUAAGCGUGAAGCCAACUCUAAGAUGAAUCUUCUCUAAGCUCUCUAGAAGACUACUAGUUUGAUAGGCUGGGUGUGUAAUGGAUGAAAGUCCUUUAGCUGACCAGUACUAAUAGAGCGUUUGGCUUAUCUUU